GGUUUUUAUCUUCACCGGGCCUGCUCCUCUGGGACCUUAGCCAACUCUUCAAGAAGGAAUCAAACCGACUGAGAUGAAGACUUCAGAGAAAUGAGCAACCAAUAUUCAGGGAGCUGCCAGCUGCAGAGCUGCAGUGUGGAGAUAACAGGAAGCUCCAAUCACAGAGUCUUUCUCAAUCCGGCCUACAACACCCCUGAUGAGAGUCUUCCUGGAGUGGAGGAUGAGAGGGUGUUACAGACAUCACACCCGCUAUAGACCCCGGUGGAGCUCCUGACACCUGGCUUUCUGACAGUAACACUCCAGGUACAUCUUUCAUGGAUGCUUUUAUCAAUGACGGAGUCG
rnacentral:lncRNA from 1 species